UCCCUGGUGGCUUAAACGGUAAAGAAUCUGCCUGCAAUGCAGUAGAUCUGGCUUCAAUCCCUAGUCAGGAAG
rnacentral:tRNA from 1 species